rnacentral:rRNA from 2 species
AAUGCAGUCGACGCGUUGGCCCAAUUGAUUGAUGGUGCUUGCACCUGAUUGAUUUUGGUCGCCAACGAGUGGCGGACGGGUGAGUAACACGUAGGUAACCUGCCCAGAAGCGGGGGACAACAUUUGGAAACAGAUGCUAAUACCGCAUAACAACGUUGUUCGCAUGAACAACGCUUAAAAGAUGGCUUCUCGCUAUCACUUCUGGAUGGACCUGCGGUGCAUUAGCUUGUUGGUGGGGUAACGGCCUACCAAGGCGAUGAUGCAUAGCCGAGUUGAGAGACUGAUCGGCCACAAUGGGACUGAGACACGGCCCAUACUCCUACGGGAGGCAGCAGUAGGGAAUCUUCCACAAUGGGCGCAAGCCUGAUGGAGCAACACCGCGUGAGUGAAGAAGGGUUUCGGCUCGUAAAGCUCUGUUGUUAAAGAAGAACACGUAUGAGAGUAACUGUUCAUACGUUGACGGUAUUUAACCAGAAAGUCACGGCUAACUACGUGCCAGCAGCCGCGGUAAUACGUAGGUGGCAAGCGUUAUCCGGAUUUAUUGGGCGUAAAGAGAGUGCAGGCGGUUUUCUAAGUCUGAUGUGAAAGCCUUCGGCUUAACCGGAGAAGUGCAUCGGAAACUGGAUAACUUGAGUGCAGAAGAGGGUAGUGGAACUCCAUGUGUAGCGGUGGAAUGCGUAGAUAUAUGGAAGAACACCAGUGGCGAAGGCGGCUACCUGGUCUGCAACUGACGCUGAGACUCGAAAGCAUGGGUAGCGAACAGGAUUAGAUACCCUGGUAGUCCAUGCCGUAAACGAUGAGUGCUAGGUGUUGGAGGGUUUCCC